rnacentral:tRNA from 1 species
GUUCUUGUAGUAAAAUAAUUACAAUGGUUCUUCAAGUCAUUGAUCUCAGUUAAAGUCUGAGUAAGAAUU